AGUUUGGUCCUUAAGGGGUUAUGGACAAAAAUUGAUGAAAUAAGUGAAAUACAUAGUGUUGGUGAAUUUCUAAUAUAUAUUUUUUCUAAUCUUCCCUGAGACCUUAUAUUUGGUACUAUCAUAGGUUUGACACUACUUAAGGCAGUGCAAUAUAUCUAGACUGCCUAUUUUUAUUUUUUUUUGUGCAAUUUCAAACAGAUUAGACUUUGAUGGUGUGUCUGUUAUAUGCCGAGGUUUUCUUUUAAGGUUAUAUGUUGGGUUACUGUGUGCAUUAACUCCGAGGAGUAUUCAUGGCAUUAUAUUGCUUAAAACUGUAUUCCAUUUCUACACGGAUGUUAGCUACAGUCACCCUAAUAAACCUGCUUGCUAAUUGGCACUUUCUGCCAUUAAUAAGCAACAAG